rnacentral:rRNA from 1 species
AGCGAACGCUGGCGGCAGGCUUAACACAUGCAAGUCGAGCGGGCCCUUCGGGGUCAGCGGCAGACGGGUGAGUAACACGUGGGAACGUACCCUUUGGUUCGGAAUAACGCUGGGAAACUAGCGCUAAUACCGGAUACGCCCUUUUGGGGAAAGGCUUGCUGCCGAAGGAUCGGCCCGCGUCUGAUUAGCUAGUUGGUGGGGUAAUGGCCUAACAAGACGACGAUCAGUAGCUGGUCUGAGAGGAUGAUCAGACACACUGGGACUGAGACACGGCCCAGACUCCUACGGGAGGAAGAAGUAGGGAAUAUUAGACAAUGGGCGCAAGACUGAUCAAGCCAUGCCGCGUGAGUGAUGGAGGCAUUAGGGUUGUAAAGCUCUUUUGUCCGGGACGAUAAUGACGGUACCGGAAGAAUAAGCCCCGGCUAACUUCGUG